AACUAACGCUGGCGGCGUGCCUAACACAUGCAAGUCGUACGAGAAAGUUGGCUUCGGCCGAUGAGUAAAGUGGCGCACGGGUGAGUAACGCGUGGAUAAUCUACCUUUUAGUUUGGAAUAACGUACCGAAAGGUGCGCUAAUACCGGAUAAUACUGAGUGACUACUGUUGCUUAGUCAAAGAAGGCUUCUGUUUACAUGCUUUUGCUGAAAGAUGAGUCCGCGUACCAUUAGCUAGUUGGUAGGGUAAUGGCCUACCAAGGCUACGAUGGUUAGCUGGUCUGAGAGGAUGAUCAGCCACACUGGAACUGAGACACGGUCCAGACUCCUACGGGAGGCAGCAGUGAGGAAUAUUGCGCAAUGGGGGCAACCCUGACGCAGCAACGCCGCGUGAGUGAGGAAGGUUUUCGGACCGUAAAGCUCUGUCGAGCGGGAAGAAAUGCAUGGUGGCUAAUAUCCAUCAUGCUUGACGGUACCGCUAAAGGAAGCACCGGCUAACUCCGUG
rnacentral:rRNA from 1 species